UACUACUCUUUGCGGUGGAUCACUCGGCUCGUGUGUCGAUGAAGAACGCAGCGAAAUGCG
rnacentral:rRNA from 2 species